rnacentral:rRNA from 1 species
UACGUAGGCAGCGAGCGUUGUUCGGAGUUACUGGGCGUAAAGAGCGCGUAGGCGGCCCUGUAAGUCCGCUGUGAAAAGUCAAGGGCUCAACCCUUGGAUGCCGGUGGAUACUGCAGGGCUGAGAGUCCGGAAGAGGCGAGUGGGAAUUCCUGGUGUAGCGGUGAAAUGCGCAGGAUAAUCAGGAGGAACACCGAUGGCGA